GGUAAGUCCGUGAGAGGGGGGGUGGUAAUAGGGGGGGGGGAAGCGUUAUGCGGGUUUGGUGGGUUUAAAGGGUCCGUAGGCGGACCGGGAAGUCAGUGGUGAAAGGCUACAGCUUAACUGUAGAACUGCCGUUGAUACUGUCGGUCUUGAGUGUGGUUGAGGUAGCUGGAAUGAGUAGUGUAGCGGUGAAAUGCAUAGAUAUUACUCAGAACACCAAUUGCGAAGGCAGGUUACCAAGUCACAACUGACGCUGAUGGACGAAAGCGUGGGGAGCGAACAGGAUUAGAUACCCCUGUAUUC
rnacentral:rRNA from 1 species